AUACGUAGGGUCCAAGCGUUAUCCGGAAUUACUGGGUAUAAAGGGUGCGCAGGCGGUUUUUCACGUCUGGGGUUAAAUAUCACGGCUCAACCGUGAAGAUGCCUCGGAAACGGGAGAACUUGAAUAUGAGAGAGGUAAGUGGAAUUCCUGGUGUAGCGGUGAAAUGCGUAGAUAUCAGGAGGAACACCAGUGGCGAAGGCGGCUUACUGGCUCAUUCUUGACGCUCAGGCACGAAAGUGUGGGUAGCAAACAGGAUUAGAUACCCCGGUAGUCC
rnacentral:rRNA from 1 species